CGGCUCAUCGUAAGGCAGUUUGCUUGCGUGGUCCGCCAGCUGCCUAGCGAAGGGCAACA
rnacentral:pre_miRNA from 1 species